GACGAACGCUGGCGGCGUGCCUAAUACAUGCAAGUCGAGCGAAGUUUUUCCGGUGCUUGCACCGGAAAAACUUAGCGGCGAACGGGUGAGUAACACGUAAAGAACCUGCCUCAUAGACUGGGACAACUAUUGGAAACGAUAGCUAAUACCGGAUAAUAGCAUUAACUGCAUGGUUGAUGUUUAAAAGUUGGUUUUGCUAACACUAUGAGAUGGCUUUGCGGUGCAUUAGCUAGUUGGUGGGGUAAAGGCCUACCAAGGCGACGAUGCAUAGCCGACCUGAGAGAGGGAUCGGCCACACUGGGACUGAGACACGGCCCAGACUCCUACGGGAGGCAGCAGUAGGGAAUCUUCCGCAAUGGGCGAAAGCCUGACGGAGCAACGCCGCGUGAGUGAAGAAGGAUUUCGGUUCGUAAAGCUCUGUUGUUAGGGAAGAAUGAUUGUGUAGUAACGAUACACAGUAGAGACGGUACCUAACCAGAAAGCCACGGCUAACUACGUG
rnacentral:rRNA from 1 species